rnacentral:rRNA from 1 species
GACGAACGCUGGCGGCGGGCUUAACACAUGCAAGUCGAACGGAAAGGGCCUGCUUUUGUGGGGUUCUCGAGUGGCGAACGGGUGAGUAACACGGGAGUAAGCUGCCCUGGACUUUGGGAUAACUUCAGGAAACUGGUGCUAAUACCGGAUAGGAGCUCCUGCUGGAUGGUGGGGGUUGGAAAGUUUCGGCGGUUGGGGAUGGACUCGCGGCUUAUCAGCUUGUUGGUGGGGUAGUGGCUUACCAAGGCUUUGACGGGUAGCCUGCAUGAGAGGGUGACCGGCCACCUUGCGCCUGCGGUACGGCCCAGACUCCUACGGGAGGCAGCAGUGGGGAAUAUUGCACAAUCGGCCGAAGCCUGAUGCAGCAACGCCGCGUGCGUGAUGCCGGCCUUCGGGUUGUAAACCGCUUUAGCCUGUGACGAAGCGUGAGUGACGGUACUGGGUAAAGAAGCACCGGCUAACUACGUG